UAGGGAAUAUUGGACAAUGGGGGGAACCCUGAUCCAGCCAUGCCGCGUGGAGGAAGACUGCCCUCUGGGUUGUAAACUCCUUUUAUAUGGGAAGAACCGUCCUCAUUGAUGAGUGACCUGACGGUACCAUAGGAAUAAGCACCGGCUAACUCCGUGCCAGCAGCCGCGGUAAUACGGAGGGUGCAAGCGUUAUCCGGAUUCACUGGGUUUAAAGGGUGCGUAGGCGGAUAUGUAAGUCAGUGGUGAAAUCAACGGGCUCAACCUGUUAACUGCCAUUGAUACUGUGUAUCUUGAAUAUGAGAGAGGUAGGCGGAAUGUUGCAUGUAGGGGUGAAAUGCUUAGAUAUGCUACGGAACACCGAUUGCGAAGGCAGCUUACUAUUUCGUAAUUGACGCUGAGGCACGAAAGCGUGGGUAGCGAACA
rnacentral:rRNA from 1 species